rnacentral:rRNA from 1 species
UACGUAGGGGGCAAGCGUUGUCCGGAAUCAUUGGGCGUAAAGAGCGUGUAGGCGGCUAGGUAGGUCCGUUGUGAAAACUCGAGGCUUAACCUCGAGAUGUCAUCGGAAACCAUUUGGCUAGAGUCCGGAAGAGGAGAGUGGAAUUCCUGGUGUAGCGGUGAAAUGCGUAGAGAUCAGGAAGAACAUCGGUGGCGAAGGCGCUCUGCUGGACCAUAACUGACACUCAGGGACGAAAGCUAGGGGAGCGAAUGGG